CGCAUCAGCAUUAAUUCUUUUGGGGAAUAUCCAACGGUGGCUCUAAAGCCAAGAAUAUCUUUUACAGUCUCCACUUCCCCUAAUCCUUCAAAAAUCUUAUGAUGCAUCAAAAGCUAAGAAUAAAUUUUUCACGGCGUUCACUUCCACCAUAGGAUUCUCAGUGGUAUCUACUUGAUGAGGAUCUUCACGAUAACUUUUCUUGGUCCAGUGCAGCAUCGAUGAUGAUGUUCUUCACAUCUAUCGUGUGAGUCGCAUGCAUUUAUGUUCCUCUGGUCACUCAAUCAUGUCGUAGGACGAAAGGUCCGAAUCGGCACGGGUGACUGGUUGUAUACGUAGAAUUUUUGAUGAGCAUAGUGACCGCGGGUAUUUUUUGUACCCGUGAGUAGGAACAUAUUUUUCAGGUUCUUUAUGUAUUAGAUCAGGAUAGGGCUUCUUGCAUAUCGCGAUUUUAACAAUUAAAAUAAUGUAGUAAUUACUUAUAAAAUCAAAAUAUCUUCAAUAUAAAUAUU